ACUAACCAAACGUUCGGAACACUGCGCAUGAAUUGUAGAGAGACUCUCAUGGCAGUGGUUUCAAAAGUUGGCUGAGAAGAUAGAAGGGAUAUCUACAUCAACAACAUUACUCGUUCCACGGUGGGCAAAGAAUCAGCGGCAAUCAUUGAAUCAUUGGGAGUGCGCAACAUCAAUGAACGCUCGAGCAGUAUCAAACUGAGCUCUGAAGAGAACAUCGCGUGUGGUACGGAGUAUGUGUUGCACCAUGCUUUCAACAUUCAUUCGAUUAAAAGCGCACGUCGAGCAAUCUUCUGUGCUCGCGACUGUGAACAAAUAUCUUGAGCGUAAUGUUGAUAACUAAAUGCUGAAAUCCCGUUGUUCAAUGCGGACUAUGUUAUUGUUAUUUAGUGUGCUGUUUUAUGAAUCAGUUAAGUGUUUGAUUUAUUUUGAAAUUGAAAAAACGCUACAAUUUUUUAUUACCUAAUGUGAAUACAGUGGAUUCAAACCGAGACUUAGUGAUCAAAAUUGAUUACUUUUCUGAUGGUAUCAACUAUUUUCGGCAGUAAUGAUCAAUAGUAAAAAGAUUAUUUAUUGCAGGCAGACCUUAUAUGAAGAGCAAAAUAUCAAACGAACUUUCUGUGGAUAGCAAAUCAAGGCAGACCUUAUAUAAAGAGCAAAAUAUCAAACGAACUUUCUGUGGAUAGCAAAUCAACAGUGCACGAAAACGACCAUAGGUUGCUAGCGCCAAAUGAGAACGCAAUUAUACGCAAAUGCCGACGAGCAUGCAACCAUCGCAUGAAUGGUGGUUUUUGUGCAAUCAAUUUUCCUUGUUCCCUAACUCACGUGCCCAAUCAGGGAAAAAAGAAAUGGAGCGAAAACCUUUUUCGUUCUAUUUAAACUGUUUGUCUCUUCAUUUGUCUGAAUGUUAAAAUAUACAGGAUUAUUUAACUGAUUUUAUAUUUUUUAUUGACUGUGUAAUUUUGGGAAAGUAAACGCAAAAAUAAAUGUAAAAAUCCGUACAUUCGAAAUUAACGCAUAAAUUUAAUUUUAGCGUAACCUUGUACUUUUGAAGUGAACUAUUUGUGAAUCCGAACCAUCAAGCAAACGGUAAGAAUUUAUUAUUAUUUGCUUAAUGUACGCAAAACCCUCAAUAAGUUGUGUCGCUAAUCUCUGGCGCACCCACCCAUGAUUCAUUAAUACACAGGCAUAAUUGGUGCUCUAUUAGUCUUCUUCCCGUUCACCUCCUCACAUUCUUAUCGUACGACGAUUUGUGAAACCUCUGAUGAUCGGUCUGAAUGGUACCUGGCUAAGCAAUUAAAUUAUAACCAAUUUAAUUUGACGCUAUCCUAUAGCAAACUUUCAUUUAUCAUCGUGUUUCGAGCAUUACGCACUGCAAAUUGUGGUUCAGCAUGCAGAAGCAUCAGCACUAGAAUGAAAUGCAUUGUCAAGAACUGGAAAAAUUCAGAGGAUCGGCAUUCACACACGUCAAAUUAACUCGUGCGACAAAAGAGCAGUCGUGUGAUCAAAAUGGUUCGUCGAGCAGGACGUUGGUCAUCCCAUUGUACUUUGCCGUACACUAUCCCUUGAUGAAUAUCGAAAGGUAUUUCACACGGGACUUUUGUGGCAAAUAAUAGGAAUGAGAAUUUAAUAAUCUAACAAUCAUAUUUGAAAGCAGAUAAUUGAUUAGCAUGGAUUUUGGGAUUUAUGAUGGAAUAUUUCAAUAUCGUAUGUGAAAUUAAUAUGGGUAAGUUAUUGAAAAUAAUGAAGAUUAGAGUUCUACCUCAUGGAACUUUACUGAUAUCGAUAUUAGAAUUUUUAUUUAUGGAUUAUUUUUAUUGAAAUUGAAUGACAAUUCAUCAUUAUAAUUCUUCUGCUUGCCUUAAACUGACCCUUACACCUAGGUAUCAAGGCCAUAUUAUUGGCCUUAUUGCGUUCCAUAUUGUUUGCAAAUUAAAUACGGUAUGUCACAUUCUAUCUCAUUUCCUUCGAACAAAACAAAGCAUCAAGUAAGUCAAGUAUCAUGUUGCAUGACACCAUACAGCGAGAAUGUUUUCUUAAAUUCACCUACAAUGGCAUUUCAUACCUACUUAGCGAGAGCUUUACUUUGUAACAGCUUGAAAAAUUAAGUUAUCUUCCUUCCUGUUUUAUUCUUAAAUUACUCACUUACCAAACGUUAUUAUGCAAAUUGUGUCACCAGGAAAAAAACUUGGGUUUCCACGGAAAAGUAUUUUAAAAUGCGGUGGUACAGUUGAAAACCUGUGAAGGCAAUGACAGGUAUCGUCGAGCUGUCGAACUUUAGCAAGAAUGUCACCCUCCUGUAGGAAGUGUGUUGAUUUCACUUUAAACUUAAUUCAAAUUAACCCAUGUUGCUCCAUCUUUAACGUGAAAUGGGCCGAUUACAACUUGAAACAUAGCUAAGAUGCUUAUAAGGAACAGAAAGUUAGAUUCUGUUACGUGUUAAGCUGAUGUAAAUUGACGAGAGGACGAGCGUUAUGUAAAAUGCGUUUCAUUGGGUAUAAAAAUAAAGUUGUGAAGAAAAUUGUGUUAGCAAUUCGAUUUCAAUCUACCACUUAAACAAAUGUGAAUAGAUAGGACUUGACUUUUUGUCGUCGUAAAAUAAUUUUUAUUUACCAUUUUGAUCACUUUCUUUCUGGGCUUGUACUCCAAACGGUGAUUGAAGAAGUUGAGUUCUUAAAACAUUUCGGUAGAAGAUAGCAUAUAAUUGAGUAUGGAAAGCCAAAACCUUUCAAGCAAAGACAAUUUGUAAAGAAAAGUUAAUAGAAAAAAUAGUUUAAAUAACUUUACAUACUCUUUGACAUACUUUAAGACAUGGGAUGAUCAUACGAAGAAGUAAAACUAAAACAGACUUAGAUUUUAACCUGCUAUUUUCAGUGAUUUUAACGAUGGCUUUCAUACCUUAACUGCUGCUUACUACAAAAUGAAUAUUUUGUGUUCUAUUCAACAUGGUUGCAUUUUAAUUCGUUUUACAAGACCAACAAAAAACAAAUAAAAAAUCUCUUUGUAACAGCAAUGUAAAAAUUUGCAUGAAAUAAUCAAUCGGAAUAUUUAUGGUCUUAUUACGGAAAAGAUGUUUCAUUUAUUUACGAAAGCAAAACAAACGUUUCACAUAAUUUUUAAUCAAUUGUUUCAACACACAAACUGUUUUUUUUUUACAUACCAUCAUGCACUGAACGUCCUGGAACAAACUAACCACAGUGUACGUGGGCUGGCUCCGUCACAAAGGACAUGUUUACAUAGCCCUGUUCAUCUAAUUUAGAGCCUACUCCAGGUUUCGAAGUGCAUGUUAUUUAUUAUGCAAAUAUAGAACCAAUGAGCUCACCAACCCACACACUAUUGAUUAUAGGCGGUCUCGUUUGGUCGUACCUUUGUUGACUUAACGCGGUCACGGUUAGCCGAAAAGCCAUCGGAAAUACAAUCGCCCGUGGCAAUCGGAAGUUAUCGAAUGAGGAGUGGACCAGAUAGCCGGGCUGUGUUUCAUUAUGACCACAAAUUAAAACAUUCUCCACAUUGGAUUGUACAGCUAGUUGUGGGACCUCGUCUGUUCCCAAUCCCCAAUGCUUGCUGAGGGUGGGGUUUUCAAAUAGCACGCACCGGAACCGAACUGUGCGGGUAUGUCGGCACCGAAAGCUUGCUGUUUGUCUAGCUCAUAUUGAUGAAUAAUUAAAAUUGAUCACUCAAUUCAUUUUUCAAACCGUCUGUCCCAAACCGACUGCCAAACAUGUCAUCAGUAGUGGUGAUGUUUACAGAUGGAAUAGCUAAUUAAAAUUAGUUUGCCUUUGUUAGCUGUGGAACUGUAGCGAAAGGGGCACCAGAGGCACAUCACAUUAUUUUAAAAUGCAUUGAUAUGAUUGCACAUAUGCUGUUUGUUGUCUAGAAUGCUGUUCUUAGUAACUUUUAAUCAUUUUUCCUGUUUAUGUGUAUGAGUUAGAUUGAUCAAUAGAUAAUUUAGUAACUUAGCAUUAAACUCCACUAUCAUCUCUCCAAUAUCGUCUCUCAAAAGUAGUCCCAAUCGCGAUUGAUUCAGACCAUCGAGGUAAGUCGAUAGGCUGGAAAACAUUAUUUUACACAUGAAAGAUCUAUCACGAUUUUAUUGCAACUUCCAAAUGUGGCUUCAAGGGAAGUAGAAAGACAGGGAUGUUGUCUUUCAAAGUAAUUCCUAUCACGAAUCCUUUACACUACUUCGCGUGACAGCAAGACAUUUACCAACCGGGGGUUAAAGGGUCUUCGCAAUUCAAUGCAGUAAUGAACCGUACUUACAAUCCAUGUUGAUACUGACUGUUCUUCAGUUUCAUCCCAGGUUUCAUCUUUUACCUGCCUGAUUCGUUCAAACGAUCGAAUACAACCGUAAUAAAAUGCAUAUAAAAACAGCGACAUUUAGUUAUUUCGACAGUUGUUAUCCUUUUCGUGGUCGUUCCUUUGCGUUGCCUUCGUUGUACAAGCUCACUCCAACUACUUUGGACGUAAACGUGCUCGAUGGAUGGUUGUCUGAGAUGGACUGUUAGAAUCGGGACGCUCGUAAGGAGCACCAUGUAUUUUACAAUUCAAUAGUAUGUCGCUAUCAUGUGUUGAAGACUCGUCCAUUAGAAAAUUAAAUGUUGUACUCUACACCGCAAAAUUAGCAUGACAUUUAUUCUGAUAACUACACGAAGGCCAACACUGAAGGCUGUCAAUAAACUCCAAAUAAAUUUGGAUAGAAAUCUGCAUCCUUCUAUCGCUCGGGGUAGGUUUGAUUGAACCGAGUUAUUUGUUUGUUUGUACUUAUAGAUUUACGGCGUAAAAUAAGACCGGACUCACAUGUGUUACAUUGUGAAUUAUGAUGGCAUAACAUCCUUCAUCGCUCAAUACAAUCCCUAUCAACAAAUUCACCCGCUUCGAAAAAAGGUAACCAGACAGUUCUUCGAUGAUGUCGGUCGUGAUGCGGGUGUUAGCUGCCUCUAUGAAUAAAUCAACAACAGAUUGUUCAAUGACCACUUCCAGUAGAGUCAUCAUGCGGAGGAUUUAACUUACCGCUUUUUGACACCCCUGCAACCAAAGGGGCCUGGUUCGCGUGGUUGCGUGAUCAAUCUAAUCGAGUUGAGCAUGGGCUAAUUUAUUUUAAAAUAGUCCAGUUCUUCUUGGGAAACAUAUAUGGUGGAUGCAGUGUGUUGACCAUGAAAAGGCCCUCAUGGUUAUAGUUGUGGGCGAGUGAAUAGUUGUGGGGAGAAUGAACUGUACGUCGAUCUUGUGAAGAGUUUUGUGUUUUCUGUGACCCUGCUGCAUUUUGAUACAUUUAAUAGUUGAACCAAUUAAUAAAGAUUGAUGAUGGUAGCGCCAGUUUUAGCGAGAGAUAUUGUUGUGGGAGUGGGGAUAAGCAUUUAACACGGCUCACUCCAUCACAAAGCAAUGGGCAUCAUCGUAUGAUAUUAUGAAUUUUAAUAUUGGUUCAAUGACGUAAUAAAAUGUACCACUGUUUUAUUAUUAUAUUACAUCCUGGGAGCGGCCAGGUGAUAGAUGCGAUAACGGCACCAGUCUUCAUACGGCAGGAUCGGGGUUCAAAUUCCAUCCGAACCUAUCCGACAAUAACUUGCAUGAAGCUUGAAUAAAUUACGAAGAAUUAAAGGAGAUAAUGUUAAUUUGUCCAGAUAUCACUUUCCUGUUUCUUUUGGCGAAUAUGAUCGAACUAAAAGAAAUAGACCAGAGGCUGGCAAACCACCAAUUAUGGCCUAUUAUUAGUAUUAAAUCUUUUGAUAACUUUCGAUGAACGUUAGACAGCAGCGCAUUAUAUGCAUUCCAACUCUUCCCCAGCCAUAGCUGACGAUAUUCUGGGCAUCGUAUCCCUCGUAUAAAAACUGCACAAACUGUACGCCGAAUAUGGAAGGGCAUCAUUACGCCAGCUGUGGUUGCGCGUGAUGGGAGCGAUAAGAUAAAGGAUUAAAUCGAAUAUGCUGUUCGAUAAGCUGUGACUGAAUUACAUGGUACCAAAAUGUCAGUUUUUUAGACAGUAAAGCUGUUAAUAACCCGAUUAUUUCUUCCUCAUUUACUAUGAACAACGCUUAGUGUAGAACUUUUUCAUAAGCCUGAAAUUUGACUUCCGUAAACAGUAUAGUGAGAAAUACCCCUUCGACAUGAGAGAAAGUGAGUGGAACAAUUUCUCACGUGCGUAAAAAAUGGGUAAACAACGUUCCUGCAAUGUUGCGCUGAGAGGCGUGGUCGAAACUCCACAACCUUUUCAAGUACAUCAAAGCGUCUCAUUCUCAGUGCACUUUAGCAGUGGCCAUGCGAGUGUCGUCGAUAUUUUGCUUGACACGACAGUCCGGCGAGUUAUGGUCUGUGUUGUGUCCGAUGAUUUGAGCUUGACGAUUGAGGAGUUAUAAGAGAGUGUGUAGGAGUGAGUUGUGAGUAAGGCACAAGUGUAUCGUUGAAGUGAAGAGUUCGUUUGACAAUCACGCUAGAUUAAUAUGCGUGAAUUAAGUAAGUGCUUGCGAGAUGAAAUAUACGCUCAACUUUUAGGAUGUGUAGCUAAUUGAUGGGAUUAUUUCCCAGUGGUAUCUAAAUCUGAAUAGGCGGAAAACAUCUUCCUUAAUUUUUUGUAAAAUCUUUUAAACUUACGAAAAGAGUGUUAAAUUAAAGCACAUUGAUAUACAAAAUGUAUUAUGAGCGCUGAAAGUCAGCAAUACCAUCAACAGCCUGCGACAGCCUUGGAUAACCUAAAACCUCGUCCAACGCUUCGACAAACACGAACGAAUUCGAUACAUAAUAAGACGUUUUCUAGUGUUACAUACUUCUUAAUACUUUGUAGUCUGCCCAUAAAAACUUCUACACUAAAAGCUGAACUGGCAAUAAAGAACAUUAUGCAAUCGAUGUUUUACGUGACAUGUC